UGGACUUCAGAUGACUCAGACUGACAUUUUUUGGCAGUUAAAAGGAGGUGCAAAUUCUUUCUGCUGUGGGUAUGGAAGUGCAGUUGAAAAGUAUUUUGUUUUUCAGCAUAAUGGGACUGCAGUCACUUCGGCAAAUCUCCAGAAACCGCUAAUACAGCCAGCGCUAUGGUCUGAAAAAGCCCAAUGUGACUGCUAAGGAAUGCAUAUGCUCCAUUCUGUAGCACCACGUACUCCUGCAACUGCCUUUCCAUGUAGCUGGCUGCAAGGGCCAGGUGGCCAGUCCUGAGACUGAAACAUUGGACUAUGCCCACAGUGCUGCUGAGCGCCUCCUAAGCAUGUUUCCUCCAGUAACUUUCUGUUAGCCUCUGUGUUUCUGCCAUCGGACCGCGCUUCCAGGAACUGGCAGUUCUGCGUAACCGGCCAUUUGCAUUCAGAGCUGCGAGCGCUCUGUGAAGCCUGCUGCCGAAAACCGGGCUUUCCCCAGGAAAUUGGGCACCCAAAUGAGACAACGGAGGAAUUGAGCGGUGCUUUACCCCAGGAGCUACAGGAGGGGCUUGCAGGCAGAGCUCUGUCUGUAGGAUUUCUCAUAGAACAAGCGGAGCCCAGAUGUUCUCAGUAAGCGGCUUUCAAAACAGUUGAGGCCAGUGUCGAAUUUCCAGGCACGUGACGGAGCUCGGAGCCAAGUUUGGGGGUGCUGCUGUGUUUACCCAAAGUCUGCGAGCUGAAACGCGCCCGAGGCUGUGGGUGGGUGGAAUGAUAUCCUCUGUAACAAAUAUUUGACCGGAUGUGUGGUUUAUCUCAUUUACAGGACUUUGAGCUUCGAAGAAAGGCUGCUGUGUUUUUGUUUCUGUAAUAUCUGAGGCACGUUCAGCUAUCUCUUGCUCGCUGGAGUUGUGUUUUAACACAGAUGUGUUAGUACUCCUAACCAUUAAGAAACCAAGCGUUUUAAAGCCACGGGGGGGACCGUUUCUACUGAUGAUCGAUGAAACACUGCACGUUCUUCAAUGCUCUGCCUCGUCCGACCGCAGUGACCUCUGCCCAAGUGGAGGAACGCCUCUUGUCAAAGGUCGGCCUGGGUGCCUAAGUCACAUGCUAAGAUUUUACUAAGGGCAGUGAAUCAGCAAAAAUCCAACUCCCAUUUUUACAAGCUCAGAACCUACUUCUGGUGUGUGCUGUCCGGCGUCACGCGCAGUGUGCGCCACUCACUUUGUUGAGAAACUCUGAGGUGUGCAGAAACAGAGCACAUAUUAUUUCUGUAUCUAGGUACACCUUGACCCCUGCCAACCCAUUCCGACUUGAUGGCUUCUGUAUAUCUUCUAUAUAUAUCCUGUAUAUCUAAAGAAACAUUUGCCAAAGGAGCUCGGAUUAUUUUUCCAAGCUGAAGUUGAUGUCUUGAGCAGUCACAUGAGGAAACUUACUGCCCUUGAGAUGGCUGAUUUUCAGGUCUGUGCUUGACAUCUAAUAGUUAAGCUGUAAACAAUGUGAGAUCUUGCUCCAUUGUUUCAGAUGGGAUCUGAAACAGAGAUUGUCUUCAACAAUUUGAGGCUUGUGUGGGCAAACAAUACCCUGACUUUCGCCUGUGGGCAGCACGAAGAAUGCUUCUGCUUCACACCAACACAUAGCCAAGAGGAGACACAGCUGCCAAGUAAGGCUGUGCACGCUGUCAGCUAAGUUGAUGGAUCAGUCCCUGGGCAGCUGUGAUGUUUGUGUGCAAAAGGAUACUGAAAGAAAUAAUUUGGACUACCGGGCUCUUCCUCAAUACACCAAGAUCGUUCAUCUGUUGCCUUUGAAUGGCAAGGGCCAGGAUCUCCCUCCUGCUUUGAACAGUUCAAUGAAUAAUGGCCAGGCGUGCAAUUAGCUGCUAGCUACUGAAAGUAAUAUGACAGAAAGUCGUGUGCAAAGCACUGCCAGAUGCAGAAAAUGAGCUUGCCAGUUAACAGAUGCGAACGUCAUUUGAUGUGAAGCCCAGACAGAGCGUGAUAAUGCUCUAAUACCAGGCUGCUUCCCAAGAAUGCCCGUAACUGCACUCCUGGAGGAUGAAAGAAGGCUUAACCCAAACCAAAGGAAAACACAACGGAAUAAAGUUAAAGCACUGCGAUGGUAGUUUGAGACAGAGAAGUUUUGGUUAUAGCUAAACCUGAACUCUUUUAAGACAAGAGUGAGAGACGGGCCUUCUGUUUGCCCCCAAGACACUGUGAUGCAUGGUCUUUCAACCCAAUGUUUCCUAUUCCGGCCAAGCAAAUCUGCUGCUGUUAAUGUUGAUGUGCAUGUUUGUGUAACUUGUGAUUGAUCUAAAAAGCAGAAUUUACAACUUCCCUCAUCUUACUGAGAUUUGAUCACGGGUGGCACAGACUGUUCAAGCUACAGGGGAAAUAUCCCUGUUAUUAAUAGGCUAUUUGCUCAGUUUCUUACAAACUGUGCUGUUGCACAGCCCUUCAUGGAACACUGUAAUGAGGAUUUAUGCGUGCUUGGUCACAAUGAGACUGGAAAAAAAAAA
ensembl:lncRNA